rnacentral:vault_RNA from 1 species
GGGCCGGCUCUAGCUCAGCGGUUACUUCGAACGAAAGUGCUACUUUCCACUAAAUCUCUUCGGAGGUUCGAGCCCCGCGGGCGCUUUCCGGUCCUUUA